GAUGAACGCUGGCGGCGUGCCUAAUACAUGCAAGUCGAGCGAACAGACGAGGAGCUUGCUCCUCUGACGUUAGCGGCGGACGGGUGAGUAACACGUGGAUAACCUACCUAUAAGACUGGGAUAACUUCGGGAAACCGGAGCUAAUACCGGAUAACAUGUUGAACCGCAUGGUUCAACAGUGAAAGACGGUCUUGCUGUCACUUAUCGAUGGAUCCGCGCCGCAUUAGCUAGUUGGUAAGGUAACGGCUUACCAAGGCAACCAUGCGUAGCCGACGUGAGAGGGUGAUCGGCCACACUGGAACUGAGACACGGUCCAGACUACUACGGGAGGCAGCAGUAGGGAAUCUUCCGCAAUGGGCGAGAGCCUGACGGAGCAGCGCCGCGUGAGUGAAGAAGGUCUUCGGAUCGUAAAACUCUGUUAUUAGGGAAGAACAAAUGUGUAAGUAACUAUGCACGUCUUGACGGUACCUAAUCAGAAAGCCACGGCUAACUACGUG
rnacentral:rRNA from 1 species